AACGCUAGCUACAGGCUUAACACAUGCAAGUUGCGGGGCAGCAGGUCUUCGGAUGCUGGCGACCGGCGCACGGGUGCGUAACGCGUAUGCAACCUACCCUUUACAGGGGGAUAGCCCGAGGAAACUCGGAUUAAUACCCCAUAGUUUAAGAUAUCAGCAUUGAUAACUUAAUAAAGCUCCGGCGGUAAAGGAUGGGCAUGCGUGACAUUAGCUAGUUGGUAAGGUAACGGCUUACCAAGGCUACGAUGUCUAGGGGUCCUGAGAGGGUUACCCCCCACACUGGUACUGAGACACGGACCAGACUCCUACGGGAGGCAGCAGUGAGGAAUAUUGGUCAAUGGAGGCAACUCUGAACCAGCCAAGUAGCGU
rnacentral:rRNA from 1 species